rnacentral:rRNA from 1 species
UGCAGUCGAGCGGCAGCGCGGGGGCAACCUUGGCGGCGAGCGGCGAACGGGUGAGUAAUGUAUCGGAACGUACCCAGUCGUGGGGGAUAACUAUCCGAAAGGAUAGCUAAUACCGCAUACGUCCUGAGGGAGAAAGCGGGGGACCGAAAGGCCUCGCGCGAUUGGAGCGGCCGAUAUCGGAUUAGCUAGUUGGUGAGGUAAAGGCUCACCAAGGCGACGAUCCGUAGCUGGUCUGAGAGGACGACCAGCCACACUGGAACUGAGACACGGUCCAGACUCCUACGGGAGGCAGCAGUGGGGAAUUUUGGACAAUGGGGGCAACCCUGAUCCAGCCAUUCCGCGUGAGUGAAGAAGGCCUUCGGGUUGUAAAGCUCUUUCGGCAGGAACGAAACGGUGUCCCCUAAUACGGGGCGCUAAUGACGGUACCUGAAGAAGAAGCACCGGCUAACUACGUGCCAGCAGCCGCGGUAAUACGUAGGGUGCGAGCGUUAAUCGGAAUUACUGGGCGUAAAGCGUGCGCAGGCGGUUAUGUAAGACAGGUGUGAAAUCCCCGGGCUUAACCUGGGAACUGCGCUUGUGACUGCAUAACUCGAGUGUGGCAGAGGGGGGUGGAAUUCCACGUGUAGCAGUGAAAUGCGUAGAGAUGUGGAGGAAUACCGAUGG